rnacentral:rRNA from 1 species
GCGAGUUACGAUCUGAUGCAAGGUUAAGCAGAAAAUGUGGAGCCGUAGCGAAAGCGAGUCUGAAUAGGGCGAAUGAGUAUUUGGUCGUAGACCCGAAACCAGGUGAUCUACCCUUGGUCAGGUUGAAGUUCAGGUAACACUGAAUGGAGGACCGAACCGACUUACGUUGAAAAGUGAGCGGAUGAACUGAGGGUAGCGGAGAAAUUCCAAUCGAACUUGGAGAUAGCUGGUUCUCUCCGAAAUAGCUUUAGGGCUAGCCUCAAGUGAUGAUUAUUGGAGGUAGAGCACUGUUUGGACGAGGGGCCCCUCUCGGGUUACCGAAUUCAGACAAACUCCGAAUGCCAAAUAAUUUAACUUGGGAGUCAGAAUGUGGGUGAUAAGGUCCAUAUUCGAAAGGGAAACAGCCCAGACCACCAGCUAAGGUCCCAAAAUAUAUGUUAAGUGGAAAAGGAUGUGGCGUUGCCCAGACAACUAGGAUGUUGGCUUAGAAGCAGCCAUCAUUUAAAGAGUGCGUAAUAGCUCACUAGUCGAGUGACACUGCGCCGAAAAUGUACCGGGGCUAAACAUAUUACCGAAGCUGUGGAUUGUCCUUUGGACAAUGGUAGGAGAGCGUUCUAAGGGCGUUGAAGCAUGAUCGCAAGGACAUGUGGAGCGCUUAGAAGUGAGAAUGCCGGUGUGAGUAGCGAAAGACGGGUGAGAAUCCCGUCCACCGAUUGACUAAGGUUUCCAGAGGAAGGCUCGUCCGCUCUGGGUUAGUCGGGUCCUAAGCUGAGGCCGACAGGCGUAGGCGAUGGAUAACAGG